AUUGAACGCUGGCGGCAGGCCUAACACAUGCAAGUCGAGCGGAUGAGAAGAGCUUGCUCUUCGAGUUAGCGGCGGACGGGUGAGUCAUGCCUAGGAAUCUGCCUGGUUGUGGGGGACAACGUUUCGAAAGGAACGCUAAUACCGCAUACGUCCUAGGGGAGACAGCAUGGGACCUUCGGGCCUUGCGCAAUCAGAUGAGCCUGGGUCGGAUUAGCUAGUUGGUGAGGUAAUGGCUCACCAAGGCGACGAUCCGUAACUGGUCUGAGAGGAUGGUCAGUCACACUGGAACUGAGACACGGUCCAGACUCCUACGGGAGGCAGCAGUGGGGAAUAUUGGACAAUGGGCGAAAGCCUGAUCCAGCCAUGCCGCGUGUGUGAAGAAGGUCUUCGGAUUGUAAAGCACUUUAAGUUGGGAGGAAGGGCAGUAAGCGAAUACCUUGCUGUUUUGACGUUACCAACAGAAUAAGCACCGGCUAACUCUGUGCCAGCAGCCGCAGUAACAC
rnacentral:rRNA from 1 species